GCCCGUAAGUCUCGUUUACUUUCACUUUCGAUUUACCACUUCCGGGUACAUCGGCAGACUUAUUUACCGUUACGCAUAUAGGUAACCCGAAGAACUCGAGGGAUAUAGAAGUUAAAUUUGUUUCGGUCCUCUUCAGAUUUGAAGGAAUGGAUAGCACGGGAUAAAAAAUGCAGAUGUAUAGACAAGGAGGUAUAUGACAAGUAUAGAAUAUACAGUUGUUCAAUAUGGACCAUUAAUCAACUGUUUGCACUGCCUAUGAUCCUGAAAUAUCUAUACAUCAAAGAUAAAAAAGGAAAAGAUGAAGGAGGAUUUGUCCAAGAAGACCUUUAUUGCAACUACCAUCUUCCAGUUCCUUAAUUAAUUUGAGAAUGAUAUCAGAGAACACACAGUUACAGUGAAAUAUUAGUUUAAUAUAAGCCACUGAGAAUAGUCAAAUGUACUUUCCUGAAGAAGAUGAAUGACAUCCAGCACAAAAAUCUUAAUGUAUAAAGAGUAUGAUUUUAUGGUGUUUGACACUAUGAUCUUGUUAACAUGUUAAUGUCACAAUGAUAGAAACAGAGUAAAAUAUCCACAUUUCAUUGCAGUUUUAAAUAUCAAAACUAGAUACUCUAUAUAUACCAAAGCUGAUAACACACCAGAGAUAAGGUAUUUUCAUGGAAUCACAGUAUAGUCAUAUGACAUUAUGGACAUUAAAUGACUAUGAAGUAAAGAUUAGCAAAAAUAUUAUAUAUCAUCUACUACUAAUAUUGUGAGGUAAUCAUUGAUAAGCUCACAAAUUUGCAAUCAAAGCUUUGAUAUCAAGCUGACCAUUUUUCAAUUAGAAUAUGAUUUAUAACUCUAUGAUAAUUUGUUCAUGUUAAUUUUCAAAGUCUUUACAUUUGUAAAAGGAAAUAUUCUUAUUCUUGUAUCAGUAGACAUUUACAGUGUAAAGUUACAUUGUCCAAAUAACUAAUAAUAAUUCCAAGUGCUUUCCUGAAGUUUUUCUUCCACUUGAAAAUCAGUGUGAUAUAUAAGCUAAGCAGUGCACUAUAAAUUGUGUAAAAAUAAAAGUUUAUUAAACUUAUGAACUGUUUUUUUGUUUCUACUAUUUGGCAUAUAUUUAUAGCAGUGCUUGAUCAUAAGAGUUCAUCUGCAAAAUAAGUGUCACUGUGUACUUUAAUUCUCUAACAGCACUGGCUAGAUUGCUUGAAUAUGCAAGCAUUGACUAUAUUAAAUACUAUGCAUGUCAUUUGAAUUUUGUCUGUCCUGAAAUCGAAAGACACUAUCUAAAUAAUAUUGAUGAAAAGUUCUUGACAGCUCUUCAAUGACUACAUUUACACAUAUGUACAUGGACAGAAGUUAAAAGCAUUGUGUGGUGUUUUUUUGUUUGUUUUUUUUGAAACAUUGACAAUUUUGAAACAGUUCCAAUGGGUAUAUUAAUGUAUCAGUGAUGUAAUUGUUUUGUAUCAAGUGCAAACCCUAAGUUUUGCAUGUAUUGCAUAGACAAUUCACUUUUGGUCAAAUGUCAACAGGUUCAAUACAUUAUAAAACAGGUAAUUUGAAACCCAAAGAAGUAUAUGGUAUGUAAUAACUACCCCUCUGAUACUAAAAUCUUCAAGGAAUGCAGAAUUGCAAGUCUUCUCCAAUUAAGAGACUUGGGCAAGCUAGUGUUUUGCUACCGAAUACUCAACACAGAUGAAUUGCAUUAAUAUUGUUUACUCUGGUAUUACUACCUGCCAUGUACAAUGCAAAUCAUGGCUUUUCUAAGAGCAGUGAAAGGCUAUAACUGGAAGGAAUUUUACACAUCUUGCCUCAGAAACAAGUUUUUCUUUGAGAUGAUUUUUAUGAUAUUUAAAUAAUGGUUAAAGAUUACAUUUCUUUUACAAUUGCAGUGAUCAUGGUGAUAAUAUGAAAUGAAACUCAAUCAAGAUAGAAACAUUUUAAUGCUGAACAUUUAUCUUUUUACCAUUCCUGUUAAUUUACAAGUCUAUUUAUAACAAAUUUAUCUUAACUGUUUUGAAACUACAUGGUGCCUGGUUGAAACUGUUUUGGGCAGCCAUUUGCAGAAGAUAAAUUAUCUUUGAAUAAUUAAGUUAAUACAAAGUUACAAAUGACAGGUUAUUUAUUUCUAAUAAAGACAGGUUAUUUAUUUCUAAUAAAGACAGAUAUUUUGUUAAACAUUUUUACACUGAGAUCUAUCUUUGAAGUGUCUUCAACCUUAGUUUUUAUUAGAAUACAAACAUUCAGUCAGACAGUUUACACAAGACAUGGAGCUUUAAGAAGCUUUAAUUCAGUCAAAAUCAGUAAUGGACUGCCAUGUCUCUACCACUAUGUACUCCAAGACUGUGUAUGGACAUUUCCUUUCAACUAUGCCUGGUGGUAUCACUAUUUGAUUUCUAAUCUGAUGGUGAACACUCCAAAAUAAAUCAAGAGCCAUGACAAGUACUCAAGAUCCAACCAUGAAAUCACAUAC